GUAACUUAAGUAUGGCUUUAUUUUUCAACCACAGCAGGUGAAAUAGGAUAUAUGUGAAAGCUUCUAGAAGACGGUCUCACACUUGUGCUACAAGCUCCAUAGUUGAAUCAGCAACCACAUGGCAAACUGACAUCCUGGGCCUGUUGCAGGUGGUCCAAGAUAAGACAGGAUGGAAGCCAACUCCUGACAGACAAUCAAGAAUUCUUUCUCUGGAAAAGUUCCUUGAGAAUGAGAAAUAGCUGUAAUUGUUGUGAAAUGAAUGGAGGAACCAGGGUGAACUUUUGGGUUGCCUGGGCCAACCUCUUGAAAACCAGAAGCACACAACAGUGGAGACUCAAAGAACAUGAAACGCUCCAGUCCAAGCCUUUAACUCGACCCAUAAGACAACUGAAGCCAAAAUGAGUAACUGUGUUAUUCUUCCCACUGUUUUUGCUGUUCGAUAGUGCUGUGCUCACAGAGAGGUGGAAAUGCUCCUCCUGGGAGUUCCCACCCAGCUGCCGAAAGAAUGGAUGGAGUCUUUAAGGAGGAGUGUAAGAAGGCAGUUAAGUUUAAGAA